rnacentral:rRNA from 1 species
GGAGGGUGCAAGCGUUAUCCGGAUUCACUGGGUUUAAAGGGUGCGUAGGAGGGCAGGUAAGUCAGUGGUGAAAUCUCCGGGCUUAACUCGGAAACUGCCGUUGAUACUAUCUGUCUUGAAUACCGUGGAGGUGAGCGGAAUAUGUCAUGUAGCGGUGAAAUGCUUAGAUAUGACAUAGAACACCAAUUGCGAAGGCAGCUCACUACGCGAAUAUUGACUCUGAGGCACGAAAGCGUGGGGAUCAAACAGGAUUAGAUACCCUGGUAGUCCACGCCCUAAACUAUGGAUACUCGACAUACGCGAUACACUGUGUGUGUCUGAGCGAAAGCAUUAAGUAUCCCACCUGGGAAGUACGACCGCAAGGUUGAA